GACACAGGGAGGAAACUGAGGAAUAGACAGAUAUAGGGGAGGCAAUCUAUAAGUGAUGAAGCGCUGAUCCGCGUAACGAUGGUGACAGGUGUGCGUAAUGAUGGGCCGCCUGGCGCCUUCGAGUGCCAGGUAGAACAAGCCCAGCUUCUGGAUGUGGCGGCGGCACAUGAAGUGUGUUUGGGGUGUUGGAGCCUAGGGGUUCCCCAUGAGAUUUGUCCUAUGUAGCCUCCUCUUUGACCCUCUUUUUGGACUGCUUCUCCCUCCAAAGGGUCUCACAGGCGUUCCUCCUCAGGGCUGGCAGGGGGCUGGAACUCGGGAAACGUGUUUCUGGAGAUGGGGCAGACCUUGGUCCCWCCCUGCUUCCAGGUGGCCUCCAGGCAGGUCCUGCAGAAGCUGUGGCUGCAGUAGAGGACAGCAGAUGGGACAUGACAGGUCGUCCUCCAGGGGGGAGAGACAGGCUGCCCUUCUCUCUGAACAACUGGAGCCAGAAUGACCGAGGUUUUUAGAGCAUUGAGAAAGAGCCUGUGUCAAUGAAUGUGUCUCGCCCUCAGUGUGCAAGAGUGUUUGAGGAGAGACUCAAGAGGAGAGGAGAGACUACUGUGAAUAAUCAGAUUAAUGCAAUAGUUUGAUUUAAAACUAAUACUAAGAAAUCCUAAUAAUAUCACUUCCCCUAAUAACCCGGUAUAUAUGGAUUAAUUUGAUGAUCGGACUAUCUAGGGGAAGUGAUGUCACGAGAUCCCACAAUUGUUACUUGUUGUCAACUCCUGUGCUCCCCUAGUAAACAAUUGCUAACAAGGAUAGCUACUUMUUAGCUAGCUAGGAUACUGGAAGUUAGCAGAGAUAAAAAGAAACAUGAGUGUUUUUGGUACUCCUUGUUUUUCGCGGUUUUCUUACAACUAUUACAAAACGAGCUAAAUCAAACUUUAUUAUUCUCAACGUUGGCGAAAAGCAGAAGACGCCGUCAUUCCCUCAUACAGCAGAGGCAUCUUCCUUUGUUAUCAUGGUUGGAGAGGUACCGUUCUUGCCACCCCAGACCACUCAUGGGUGUUGGAUGCGAGUUCGCAGUAAAGGAUUGGCGUGAGAGAGUGGUCCUCAUAGAAUAUACUGAUGCAGAAUGGAGAGAACUUUCGCAUGCCCUGAAGAUCCUUUCAGAAGCUAUGCGGCAUGAUGGAGAGAAGCCUGCGCCCCAAUGAUACUACUGUUCGUGKGGCUGCGCCACUUGAAAUGCGAGUGGCGAUUGCCUGCUACAAACUGGGAAGCUGUGGGGAAUAUUAUGUUGUAGCCAAUCAGUUUGCGGUAGACAAAUCAACAGUGAAAAAGUUUGUGUGUAUGUUCUGAGGCAACUGUGUCCUCGGUGAUCAGAGAUCUUAUCAAAGUCCCAACGCUGGAGGAGGCCUGCACUAUCGCACAGAGAUUUGAGAGGGUGUACCACACUCCGCAAAUCAUCGGAUGCGUGGACGGUGCACAUAUCCCUAUCCUGCCACCUACUGACGGAUACAGGGACUUUGUCAACUGCAAAGGCCGGCCUUCCUAUGUUCUUCAAGGGAUUGUUGAUGAUACCUAUUGCAUUUGGAACAUCAGCCGCAAACUGCCUGGGAGUGCACAUGAUGCAAAUGUAGUGAGACAAUCGACUCCGUUUGAGAAGGCUCACCUACUCCCAAAGGGUGAAGGACAUACAGUACAGGGAGGCAGGUGAACUUUUUAAUUCUUGGCGACCUGGAGAGAGCCCUACCUCAACCUGGUGCACAAGCACAGAAUGCACCCAACGCUGAUGGUCAUGCUGCAAGGCAAGCCCUGACAGAGUACAUGGCAGCUAACUUCCCUCUCCACAGGCGAGAAAUGUAAACAAAUGACCUGAAAUGUCAAGGACUUAGUAGUACUACAAGUCGGCCUACUACCACUACUGUAUUGAGCCAAAGCAAUCCUGACAUAAUAUGUUGUAAAAAUGUUUUGUUGAUGCAGAUAAGCUAAUAAAUAUUUGUUUAGAAUUUUAUUUUAAAGAAGCACAAAUGUUAUCAAGUUGCACAAAUGUUAUCAAGCACAGCAAUUUUGACUGCAACAUUUACUUUAAUUAACUAAAAAUAUAUACUUAGUUUCUUUUAAAGAUUUUACUAUUUUCUAGGGCUAUCUUCUGUAUA